AACGUAGGUGGCGAGCGUUAUCCGGAUUUACUGGGCGUAAAGCGUGUGCAGGCGGGGGGGCAAGGGGGGUAUGAAAUCGCCAGGCUAAACCUGGCGCGGUUAUGCCAGACUGUCUAUCUGGAGUGCGAGAGAGGGGCGUGGAAUUCCGGGUGUAGUGGUGAAAUGCGCAGAUAUCAGGAGGAACACCGGUGGCGAAGGCGGCUUGCUGGGCCUUACCUGACGCUGAGGAGCGAAAGCGUGGGGAGCGAACAGG
rnacentral:rRNA from 1 species